rnacentral:antisense_RNA from 1 species
GAUAGCCAAAAAUCCGACCAGGAUUGAGCGUAGGGUUAGAAAUAACUCGGACAUCUGCGGCAAUGGGGUCAUAAACACCGCCCCAAAACAUUGCUUUCCCUACCAAUAACCACGCACCUAAACCUAGCAGUAAUAAGUGAAUGCCAAUGAUAGUUGUCAUCUUGUCUUUGUCUUCCCA